CUAAAGUAUUGGAACCUAAUACAACAGCUAUGGACGUAUCAUUGAAACUAGAACAAUAAGUUGCAGGUAUAAGCAGUGAAAGAGAAAAAUCCUCCGCAAAAAUGACGAUUUUUGUAACGUAAUGAAGCUUGAUACGGAUAUUGUCCGUCCUCUGCUACAGAACCGCCGACGAUUUUUGGAACUUCAUUUAUACUUGCAGCUAUAUUUAAUAAUCUUAUAUAGUAAUACAUCUCACUAGUUUUUAAAUCUAAUUUACAGUUUUAAGUCGUUGUAUUUUGAAAAUUCAAUUACGAAUAAAUGCUAAUUUUUCUAAAUAGAAUUAUUACCUGAUGUUUCAAGUAUUGCUAUAAUGGCGAAGAUAUAAAGAAACAGAAACAUUUUAAGACACUUGUUUCUUUGUUGUAACGAAUAAGCUAUCAAUCUGGUAUACUGGACGCACUUCAGGAGUAUUUAUACCAAGUAUGCUUUUAAUGACCGUGGGAAUUAAAGAUACACCUGACCAGUAUUUAAAUUUAGGUCAGAUAUUACCUACAAAAAAAGCUUAUUCGAAUGUAUCUCACGUAUGUUGCGAUAAAACCGAAGAAAACUCGUAACCGACCGGGUACCGCUACCACUUAAGAAGAGAACAGUCAUAAACUAGCAAUUCUAGUCAAAAUCUAUUCUUUUAUCUUUCGAUAGGGGUUUUCCGACCAUGGGCCAACAUAGGAACAUAUUUGUAAUAGAUGUCAUUUUUAUCUUAUUUUUGUCUUGUUUCACUUUCACCAAUCUUAUUUUUGUUUUAUAUGCACCUCCUUUAAGAAUUAUAAAUAAAAUAGCUUUUAAAAUAUAUUUUAAUUUGUUUACUUUUAUGAGAUGAAAUUUUAGUUCAUUAGAAGUUAAGAUAUAUUUUCUUCUUUAACUAUAUCGCGUCUGCUCCACUAUAUUCUUUAAAGAGUUAAAAGAUGGUGACAAAUCAGUUUUGCCAUAAAAGAAGUUCAGUUACGACUUGUAGUAACGAUUACAUAUUUGGUUUGCUCGAUUCAUGUUUCUUUGUCGAUCAGUGACUCAAAGAGGAUUAUCCGAGAACCUUAUUAAACGAGCGCGCAGGACAAUUUAAAAAGGCAUAAAGCUGCACAAUUUAUUCCAUUAUGACAUGACUCACCCUGAUUAUGUUCCAUUCAGAGACGGUGGCUGGGUGAUUGGCCUCAUUCAAAUUGCAUGGUAGUAGUAAAGGUCUAAUUCUGCCGUCAUACACGAACGCACUGUGUACUCAAAUUAAAUUCAUAUUGCUUUUAAAUAUCGCUAUAUUACAUUGGAACAAUAACGCCCAUAGAGGCACAUACAUAAACAGAAACUAUUUCAUUUCUAAUAACUUGAAUGAAGAUCUACAUAUGAUUUCAUAUGAUUUACUUCGAUGAUUUCAGCUAGGUGUGGUUUAAAAAGAUGUUGGAUGAGUUGUGAUAUGGACAAGGAGUAAGGAUGAUUUAACGCAAUUGAAUAUAUUAUAAUACAGAAAAGAACAUCAAAGACGUACAACUUGAACUUCCUUUAUUUAAAUGAAUCAGAGGUAAUAUGAACCGUCGAUGUAACGUUGCUUGUACAAAAAUCAAACUUAACUUCAUUCUGCAUUGCCUGCCUUUAAUUCUUGAAUACUAUCAACGCAAUUAUCUGAGAAGUGCGAGCUAUUGCGUGUUAUUCUAAUUAAUCGGAACUUCGA